GAUGAACGCUGGCGGCGUGCCUAAUACAUGCAAGUCGAGCGAACGGACGAGAAGCUUGCUUCUCUGGUGUUAGCGGCGGACGGGUGAGUAACACGUGGAUAACCUACCUAUAAGACUGGGAUAACUUCGGGAAGCCGGAGCUAAUACCGGAUGAUAUUUUGAACCGCAUGGUUCAAAAGUGAAAGACGGUCUUGCUGUCACUUAUAGAUGGAUCCGCGCUGCAUUAGCUAGUUGGUAAGGUAACGGCUUACCAAGGCAACGAUGCAUAGCCGACCUGAGAGGGUGAUCGGCCACACUGGAACUGAGACACGGUCCAGACUCCUACGGGAGGCAGCAGUAGGGAAUCUUCCGCAAUGGGCGAAAGCCUGACGGAGCAACGCCGCGUGAGUGAUGAAGGUCUUCGGAUCGUAAAACUCUGUUAUUAGGGAAGAACAUAUGUGUAAGUAACUGUGCACAUCUUGACGGUACCUAAUCAGAAAGCCACGGCUAACUACGUG
rnacentral:rRNA from 1 species